rnacentral:rRNA from 1 species
CCUACGGGUGGCUGCAGUGGGGAAUAUUGCACAAUGGCGGGAACCCUGAAGCAGCCACGCCGCGUGAGUGACGAAGUUUCCAGGUACGGUAAGCUCUAUCUGCAGGGAAGCAAAUGACGGUACCUGACUCAGACGCCCCGGCUAACUACGUGCCAGCUGCCGCGGUACUACGUCGGGAGCCAGCGUUAUCCGGAUUUACUGGGUGUAAAGGGAGCGUAGACGGCACUGCAAGUCCGGAGUGAAAGCCCAAGGCUUAACCAUGGGACUGCUCUUGAAACUGUGGAGCUUGAGUGGGGGAGGGGCAGGCGGAAUGCGCAGUGUAGCGGUGAAAUGCGUAGAUAUUAGGAGGAACACCGGCUGCGAAGGCGGCCUGCUGGACCGUAACUGACGUUGAGGCACGAAAGCGUGGGGAGCAAACAGGAUUAGAUACCCGAGUAGUC